rnacentral:lncRNA from 1 species
ACCCGUUAGUGCAAUGAACGAUACUACUGCCAACACGACGAAUCCACGCACAUAGCCCUUUCGAACGUUAUCAUACCGAGGUAGAUCUUGAUGAAUCCGAAUCGUGACUGGUUUCCAACAAAGUAGUACCCAAAGAUGAACUACCCAACCAAAUUUAAUGGAACAAACCAUUAAAACAAAGCUUAUGGCUUUGUCUUUUUAGAUAAAACAAUUGCAACAAAGCAAUUCCUUAACUCGGUAAAACCAGCAAGCCUGUGAUUAGUUCCUUGGCUCGGUCCAAUGAAACAAACCACCAAGAUGUGAUUGAUCCUAAAGAUAGGUUCCUAUAUUUCCUUGGCUCGGUCAAUGGAAAAAACAGCAAACAUGAAAUUAAAUCAUGAAAUCAUGGUUUUGCACUAUUUUGCAAUUUUGAUGAAUUCAUUUGCACGUUUCUAUCUAUAAUCAAUCACCGCAUGGAAAUCGAUCAACAAUCGUGAUCACCGCUUCUCGUGAAGCACCACUGUUUUGCACCGAUCUACAAUUUUCAAAAUUGGUGAAAUACACUGUCACCUGGAAACAACCCCACAACGGGUGUAAGGAUGGUGGCAUCGCGACUCUAGAGAAUCAAUCGCACCAUCGCAAGGCCGCGACUACAUCGCGGAUGACGCGUUUAGAUUGAGAGGAGAGUGGGAUCGGUUGGAAAGGACGGCGGCUAGGUUGAGCUACUAUGAAACCCUAACAGAGAAACCAAAAGAGCCAACUACUUUGUGUAUGUUUGGUUUAGCG